rnacentral:rRNA from 1 species
GGUGAACGCUGGCGGCGUGCCUAAUACAUGCAAGUCGAGCGAACAGACGAGAAGCUUGCUCCUCUGACGUUAGCGGCGGACGGGUGAGUAACACGUGGAUAACCUACCUAUAAGACUGGGAUAACUUCGGGAAACCGGAGCUAAUACCGGAUAAUAUAUUGAACCGCAUGGUUCAAUAGUGAAAGACGGUUUUGCUGUCACUUAUAGAUGGAUCCGCGCUGCAUUAGCUAGUUGGUAAGGUAACGGCUUACCAAGGCAACGAUGCGUAGCCGACCUGAGAGGGUGAUCGGCCACACUGGAACUGAGACACGGUCCAGACUCCUACGGGAGGCAGCAGUAGGGAAUCUUCCGCAAUGGGCGAAAGCCUGACGGAGCAACGCCGCGUGAGUGAUGAAGGUCUUCGGAUCGUAAAACUCUGUUAUUAGGGAAGAACAAAUGUGUAAGUAACUAUGCACAUCUUGACGGUACCUAAUCAGAAAGCCACGGCUAACUACGUG